rnacentral:tRNA from 1 species
AUCCCUGUAGCGCAAUGGAUAGCACGUUGGACUUCUAAUCCAAAGGUCGUGGGUUCAAGUUCCUCCUGGGAUA